GGUCCUGUACUAGUCCUGGCAAAGGUUCCGGUAACUGUAGCAGCAGAUACCUACUGCCCCUCCUGCACAGCUGUGGUCGAUCAGCGAUGUCAAGACGUUACAAACGCAAGAACCACCCCCUCACUAUCUCCCUGGCGUUUGUGGGGUAGCUCCUUCACAUGUACCACACCCGACCUCCCUCCCCCGACUCCUUCCGUGGGCCUGAACCUGGAAGUACUUAGGCCUCCCAAUGCUGGAGAGGCUCUGUAGAGGCGUCGAGGCCACGUUUCCAGUCCCCUCUCCACCCGUGUCUUCCCAGGGGCUGAGUUUUGAAGGCAAGACUUUGCGGGAGUCUGGCGGUAAUACGCAUCCCAAAAACCUGAAGUCAAUAAGGACUGAAGACACGACGGCGGCCCGGUGACACCGGGCACGCGCGUCUCAUCCAGGGCGAGGCCAAGCGAAGCCUCUGACCCUGCCCCGCGCCCAGGGAACAGCAGUGGGGGGUCGUCCCGCCCCAGAUCCGACCGAGAUGGACCCCCUUGACCCACAGGCCUUUUGAGACGCGAGCUUCCACGAUCCGAGGUCUCUGUGCGAACCUGGGCAUCUCGGAAGAGUCCCAGCCCCGCUCCGGGAGCACAGGCAAGCGCUCUCAGCACCGCAACUGCGCCUCCGCUCCCAACAGACAUGCUUCCGGGGUCGGCCGGCACCGCAGAGCCUCCUGGGUAACGAGCCCGCCCCACCCGCGCCAGGUUCCGGCGUCGGCGUUUGGCGCGUUGCUGACGGGCAGGUGCAUAGCCAAUUGCCGCUAGGCGGCGUCCCGCUGGUCGCGGGCCGAACCAAUGACACGCGACGGGGCGGGGCGGUGGUGGCCGUGGAGCGUCGCAAGGAGCCGCCCUGCGGGAAGAAGCCGAAGGGGAGUCGGCGGCACAAAAUGGCGGCGGCGGCGGCGGCUGGGGCUGCAGGGUCGGCCGCUCCCGCGGCAGCAGUGGCCGGCGCCCCGGGCUCUGGGGGCGCUCCCUCUGGGUCGCAGGGGGUGCUGAUCGGGGACAGGCUGUACUCCGGGGUGCUCAUCACCUUGGAGAACUGCCUCCUGCCUGACGACAAGCUCCGUUUCACGCCGUCCAUGUCGAGUGGCCUCGACACCGACACAGAGACCGAUCUUCGCGUGGUGGGCUGUGAGCUCAUCCAGGCGGCCGGCAUCCUGCUCCGCCUGCCGCAGGUGGCUAUGGCUACCGGGCAGGUGUUGUUCCAGCGGUUCUUUUAUACCAAGUCCUUCGUGAAGCACUCCAUGGAGCAUGUGUCAAUGGCCUGUGUCCACCUGGCUUCCAAGAUAGAAGAGGCUCCAAGACGCAUACGGGACGUCAUCAAUGUGUUUCACCGCCUUCGACAGCUGAGAGAGAAAAAGAAGCCCGUACCUCUACUGCUGGAUCAAGAUUAUGUUAAUUUAAAGAACCAAAUUAUAAAGGCGGAAAGACGAGUUCUCAAAGAGUUGGGUUUCUGCGUCCAUGUGAAGCAUCCUCAUAAGAUAAUCGUUAUGUACCUUCAGGUGUUAGAGUGUGAGCGUAACCAACACCUGGUCCAGACCUCAUGGGUAGCCUCUGAGGGUAAGUGACUAAGACUUCUCCUCUGCUGUCCAAGCGCUUUGGUGCAGGGACAGCGGCAUCUUCAGCCAAUCCAGUGCAGGCUCUCCACCGAAGGCUGGCUCUAGACUGGUGACUCCUUGUUGAAAUGGGACAGUUGGCAGCGGCUCUGGUGAGCCCGAGAAGAGGCCUGCCCUUGGGUGCGGAGCCUCCCUCCGCACGACGCUCCCACGCGUCCAACUUGCACCCAUGGGGCUUUUCCCUCUUCCAAGUGGACUCCUUCAAGGAAGCUGCAGCUCGGUCAGCAGAGAAGGGGCCUGGCGCCAGCGCCCUGGAGGAGGAGGAAGAGGAGCGCAAGAGGAUGGCUUGUCUCCCAGCAGCCACACCGGCUUUGUGCUCAGCCAGUUCAUUUGAGUUUGCAUGUUUCUCUGCACUAUGGAUUUUGAGCAUUUAGAUUUCUUUAAUCAAAAGCGUUUUAGUGACUCCAGUAGACAUUUUCUUUCUGAGGCAUCGUGCUUUGCAUGAGAGCAGGCCAAGGUUGAGGGGAAAAGUAAAGUUAAAGUUGGUUCUCUUUCAUAGCAACACGUAUUGUCUGACAUUCAGCCAGCUUUUUUUUUUUCUAAUAAUUUCUGUGCCUUCCUGUCCUGUAUUUAGAAAAAGCAGCUAGAAUAUUUCUCCAUUAACUCUUGAGAUUCACAGGACUGUCUAGCUCUGAGUCCUAGCAAUAGACUCCUUAGAGGAGUAGUAAAUUUAUCUAGACUUUCUCUAGAUAAUGCAGGCGGAAGACCUGGGUUCCCGGGGUGGGGCGUUGCAGCUCUUCCUGUGUUUGGUUUCCAGGAAUUACAUGAACGACAGUCUUCGUACCGACGUCUUUGUGCGGUUCCAGCCUGAGAGCAUCGCCUGUGCCUGCAUUUAUCUUGCUGCCCGGACACUGGAGAUCCCUUUGCCCAAUCGUCCCCAUUGGUUUCUUUUGUUUGGAGCAACUGAAGAAGAAAUUCAGGAAAUCUGCUUAAAGAUCUUGCAGCUGUAUGCUCGGAAAAAGGUUGAUCUCACACACCUGGAGGGUGAAGUGGAAAAGCGAAAGCACGCUAUCGAAGAGGCGAAGGCCCAAGCCCGGGGCCUGCUGCCUGGGGGUGCACAGGUGCUGGAUGGUACCUCAGGGUUCUCACCUGCCCCCAAGCUGGGUGAGUCUGUUAGAGUGCAGGAAUCC